rnacentral:rRNA from 1 species
UACAGAGGUGGCAAGCGUUGUUCGGAAUUACUGGGCGUAAAGGGCGCGUAGGCGGCCUUCUAAGUCAGACGUGAAAUCCCCGGGCUCAACCCGGGAACUGCGUCCGAUACUGGCAGGCUUGAAUUCGGGAGAGGGAUGUGGAAUUCCAGGUGUAGCGGUGAAAUGCGUAGAUAUCUGGAGGAACACCGGUGGCGAGGGCGGGUCUCUGGGCCGAAAUUGACGCUGAGGAGCGAAAGCGUGGGGAGCAAACAGG